UACAGAGGUCUCGAGCGUUGUUCGGAUUCAUUGGGCGUAAAGGGUGCGUAGGUGGCUAGGUAAGUCGGAUGUGAAAUCCCGGGGCUCAACCCCGGAACUGCAUUCGAUACUGCUUGGCUUGAGUACUGGAGAGGAGAUUGGAAUUUACGGUGUAGCAGUGAAAUGCGUAGAGAUGCGGAGGAACACCGAUGGCGAAGGCAGCCCCCUGGGCCGACACUGACGCUCAGGCACGAAAGCGUGGGGAGCGAACAGG
rnacentral:rRNA from 1 species